UACGAGGGGGGCAAGCGUUGUUCGGAAUUAUUGGGCGUAAAGGGCGCGUAGGCGGUGCGGUAAGUCACCUGUGAAAUCUCCGGGCUCAACUCGGAGCCUGCAGGCGAAACUGCCGUGCUGGAGUGUGGGAGAGGUGCGUGGAAUUCCCGGUGGUAGCGGUGAAAUGCGUAGAUAUCGGGAGGAACACCUGUGGCGAAAGCGGCGCACUGGACCACAACUGACGCUGAGGCGCGAAAGCUAGGGGAGCAAACAGG
rnacentral:rRNA from 1 species